rnacentral:rRNA from 1 species
CGGAGGGAUCAUUAAAGAGUUCUAUAACUCCCAAACCCAUGUGAACAUACCUAACGUUGCCUCGGCAGGUCGCACCUACCUUGUAGCACCCUACCCUGUAGGGCCUACCCGGGAGGUGCGGGUAAGCCUGCCGGCGGCCCACCAAACUCUGUUUGAUAUUGAAUUCUGAACCUAUAACUAAAUAAGUUAAAACUUUCAACAACGGAUCUCUUGGUUCUGGCAUCGAUGAAGAACGCAGCGAAAUGCGAUAAGUAAUGUGAAUUGCAGAAUUCAGUGAAUCAUCGAAUCUUUGAACGCAUAUUGCGCCCAUUAGUAUUCUAGUGGGCAGGACCGUUCGAGCGUCAUUUCAACCCUUAAGCCUUCGUUGCUUAGUGUUGGGAGCCUACGGUAACGUAGCUCCUCAAAGUUAGUGGCGGAGUUGGUUCACACUCUAGACGUAGUAAUUUUUUAUCUCGCCUAUUAGUUGGACUAAUCCCCUGCCGUAAAACCCCCAAUUUAUCAAGGUUGACCUCGAAUCGGUUCAGACAAACUCGCUAAAUUGAAGCAUCUUAGUCAGCGAAGGAAAAGAAACCAACAGGGAUUGCCCUAGUAACGGCGAGUGAAGCGGCAACAGCUCAAAU